ACAAAACAGAAAGGCCCAUACAGACACAUUCCCAAAUAUUUUAGAAAAUAAAUCCCCCUUUCUGCCUAUGUUUAAGCUGGUUCACUUAAAACGCAAGGUGCAACUUGUACAGCUGGCAAACUAAAAAUACCAUUUAUCUUGUUGAAGUACACUGUAUAUAUUGGGAAUUUCUCAAAAUGGAAAAGAAAAUACCACUAAAGCCAUUACCUUUUGACCACUGCACACAUCAAGUCUAUCUCUCAAAUGUUUCAUCUG
rnacentral:lncRNA from 1 species